AUGGCCGAUGCGGGUCAAAGUGAAGUAUCUGUUGUUAUCAGCUUAAUAUCUGAUACGGGUUGUAUUUGGACCCAAGGUACCAAACUUAUUUUUGCAAGUUGGCAGAGUGCUUAAAGCAUGCGUCACCCCCGCCACGGUCCGGCCCGGUAUUGCACUAUCUUCGGGAUUUUUAGUCUACGGACA